rnacentral:rRNA from 1 species
UACGGGGGGGGCAAGCGUUGUUCGGAAUUACUGGGCGUAAAGGGUUCGUAGGUGGCCAACUCAGUCAGACGUGAAAUCCCUCAGCUCAACUGGGGAACUGCGUCUGAUACUAGAUGGCUCGAGUGCAGGAGAGGAACGCGGAAUUCCAGGUGUAGCGGUGAAAUUCGUAGAUAUCAGGAGGAACACCAGUGGCGAAGGCGGCUUUCUGGACGGUAACUGACGCUGAGACGCGAAAGCGUGGGGAGCAAACAGG